UUGGCCUCCCAAAGUGCUGGGAUUACAGGCAUGAGCCACCAUGCCCGGCCCAAUCAAGUUUUUAAUUCUCUAAAUAACAUUAGGAUUUGUGCUAGAACCUUUAAAAUAUUACUCAAACGAGGGCAGCAGGGAUUGGGGAUAGGAUUUCUAUUAUUUGUGCUACCUGACUAAUUCUGGAGACUUGGACCCAGACUUUGGUGGGUUGAAUCCAAAGGUGCAGGGACUUUGUGUUCCCCAAGAGGGCAGGCAGCAGAGCCCAUGUGUUCUUUAACUAACUGUGUCUUUGUGUUUGCAAUGGCAAUGGGAAAGAGGGAAAAAUUAUAAUAAUUCUUACAAUGAUUAUGUGCUGGGAUCUUUGGCUGGAAUGAUCCCUUGGAAUGAAAAGCUGAUACUAUCAUGCCUUUGCUUACAUCCCUUCAGUGGCUUGUUUUCUUUGGAGCCUGUAAAAUCAAAGUCCAAAUCCUUCCUGUGACUUAGAGUCGCCGCAGUCUGUCUCUUGUCCUCCCUACUCUAGUGUACCCAUAUUGUCCACGGAUCUCGGAAUAUGUCAUGCCUUCUCUAGUCUCAGGGUCUUUGCACAGGAAGUUCCCAUGUUAUAAAAUGCUUUUCCCCCUUCUUUUCACCUUUAUAACCUCUACUUAUCUUCCUGUUUUAUGCUAAAGUCUCUGUCAGAGAAGGCUUUCUCAAAUCCUCCAAACAAGUCAGGUCAUUUCCCCCUGUAUUUCUACGAUGCCCAUUCUCAGAGCUGAUGGCAAUCAGUAAAACUGUGUCCCUCACUGUAUGCUUACCAGUUAAAACAUUGAAGACAAUACUUUUGUAAUUGUUGAUGAUUUAUUACUGCUCUGAGCCCCCAGUGCCAAGCCCUGACCACACGGACCCUCUUUGGAACAUUCCCUUUUGCCCAUUCCCCAUUACUCCAAAAUCAAGCAACUAAAAGUUUAUUCUCUGGCACCAUAGUGGACUUUCAGACCCCUGAUCUGAGGUUACAGCCAAAAUCCAUUCUGAUUGGCCCAUAUAAUCCCUGCUCAUAUUUCUGCCUUAUGAUUAUUUGUCUCAUAAUCAUGUUAUCGAGCAGUGAUUAUUUGUGUUUUUGGUAACAUUCUAAAAUCCAGAAAGCAGGGGCGAGUUUUAGAGUAUAGUGGACCUGCAACCUGAAAUACUCAAUAUGCACUUCUGUUAACUGCUUGUGUUAUUUAAUCCUCACAACUCCAUGAGGUAAAAGUUGUCCAGCCUUUCUAUUUUACAACUGAGGCUUCAAAAGAUAAAAGAGAUCCAUGCUGAAGGGAGAGGAAAAGAAGAAGACCCCAAGGACCACAGGCCUGGGCCUGUGUUAUCCCAAUGCCAUCAUCUCAGGAUACGAUGGGAGCUGCUAGGUGUAGAGAUGGCUCUUCUUUGAAGAAACCCCCAUGAAAUGGUUUCAGGGGAGGUCACUGUGGUUAUAUCCCAGAAGAUUUGCCCUGCAAGUGAAACAGAAGCUUCUCAUGGAGAUGUGGAGGGGGCUGCCCCGCUGUGUCAGAAAGUGGAGACUCUAUGGAACCAACCCCAUUAUACUGAGAUAGGGUUGAGGCUGCUGAUGGGUCUUUACCUAUUGUAGCUUCCAUUUGUAUGGUAGGCAGCCGCUAAGAUGGCCCCAGAUAUCACUGCCUUGUGAUAGUCCUGUCUUUGUGUAAUCCACUCCCCAUGAGUGUGGGCUGGAUCUACUGGCUCUCUUCUGCUAAACAGAUGAUCGAAAAAGUGAUGAAAUGUCACUUCUAAAAUUAGGUUACACAGAGAAUGUGGUUUCUUUUUUGCUCACUCCCUCUUACUCAGGGAAACUAGCUACCUCUUUAUGUACUGCCCUAUGGAGAGGCACACAUGUCAAGAAACUGAGGGAGUGCCUUCCAGUCAACAGCCAGCCAGGAACUAAGGUGCUCAGUACAGCAGCCUCCACAAAGGACUGAACAAUGCCAACAGCUAUUUGACUGUGCUUGGAAGAUCUCCGUUUAGUUAACCCUUCAGAUGAGACCGCAGCCCUGGCCAGCAAACAAAUUGCAGCCUAUGGAAAGACCUUAAGGCAGAAGCACCCAACUGAACCACCCGAGGGCUCUGACUUACAGAAACUGUGAGCAUAUAGUGAAAUGGCCUCUACCUUAUUUUGAAUGGAUUUCUGGGAUAAAGUUCUUCAGUGAUAACAUGUUUGAAGUUUCAGGAAAGAGGCACUGGCCUUUACUUCUCCACCUCGAUUCACUUCCAUGCUGUUGACAAAUGUUAUAGUUGCCCAGGAUCAGAGGGAGAGACUGACCCUGUGACCAUUUCCCCAAAGGCGGCCUUUGGCCACUCCGUGCACUGGAGCACAUGACCCUCUGCCUCGCCCCUGCCACAUUAACCAGGCGGCUAUCUUAUGUGCCCAUGUUACAUGCUCAUGAUAAAGCUGCAUUUCCUGAGGGGACACCAAUGGAUACACCUCUGCCUGGCACGCAGCUUAGAGGCUAAAUGUAUGAAAAGCAACACCAUGCAAAUCAUUUUGAAACUGCUGUGGAACUCUCACGGGACCCUCCAUUCUAGACAUCCAGUCCCACUAGUGAUCUGACCAUGAAACCUACUAAGAGACUUCCAGAAGAAGAUGACCUCUGAAAGGAGAAAACUUUCUUCCAAGCUUCUGUGGAACAAGAAGAUGCCAUCCCUUUGGUGGAGCCCAAAGGGAAACCAGGACACUGAAGGAAUUAACCAGAAAGAAAAGAAGAGAAGAAGGAGAAGAAAGAAGAAGAAGAAGAAGGAGAAGGAGAAGGAGACGAG
rnacentral:lncRNA from 1 species